GGUGCCUAACAAUGCAAGUCGAGCGGUAACAGGUGUAGCAAUACAUGCUGACGAGCGGCGAACGGGUGAGCAAUGCUUCGGAAUCUGCCCAAUGGUGGGGAAUAACCAGCCGAAAGGUUGGCUAAUACCGCAUACGUCCUACGGGAGAAAGCAGGGGAUCGCAAGACCUUGCGCCACUGGAUGAGCCGAAGUCGGAUUAGCUAGUUGGUAGGGUAACGGCCUACCAAGGCGACGAUCCGUAGCUGGUCUGAGAGGACGACCAGCCACACUGGGACUGAGACACGGCCCAGACUCCUACGGGAGGCAGCAGUGGGGAAUAUUGGACAAUGGGGGCAACCCUGAUCCAGCGACGCCGCGUGUGUGAAGAAGGCCUGCGGGUUGUAAAGCACUUUUAGUGGGGAUGAAAAGUCCGGGGCGAAUACCUCCGGAUCUUGACCUAACCCACAGAAAAAGCACCGGCUAACUCUGUGCCAGCAGCCGCGGUAAUACAGAGGGUGCAAGCGUUUAUCGGAAUUACCGGGCGUAAAGCGUGCGUA
rnacentral:rRNA from 1 species